rnacentral:tRNA from 5 species
GCCGGCGUAGCUCAGUUGGUAGAGCAGCUGAUCCGUAAUCAGCAGGUCGUCUGUUCAAAUCAGAUCGCCGGCUCCA